rnacentral:lncRNA from 1 species
CUUGUUUUAAAGUGGGGGGAGGGGGUUUUACAAAAUGGGGGAUAAAAGUAAUUGUUAUUAUCCAUCUGAGAAGCACAUAAGCAAUCAAGAAAUCAAGUUAGCUUUAACAGAUGUUCAAGUUCCAGCUAUUUACUGCUCAUCAUAAAAAGCCUUCAUUCUCAUUCCAAGGCAGCCUAUUGUAUCCUUAAACUGCCUCAUUCAUCCAUGCCUGUAAGUUAUAAAAUUCAAAAAAUUCAAGGAGUAAUAAACACCAUUGCAGAACUUAUAAAUAUAUACCGACCUCUGGAGCCAUCCACCGAUAAGUACCAGUUUCUGCAGUCAUAAUACCAGGUUGAUUGUACACUUUGGCUACACCAAAAUCAGCAACCUUAACUACCUGUUGGAAAAGUUUUUCAGCAACCAAAAUGGUAGGUGAAAUGCUAAUUUAUGUUUUGAAAAGUGAAAAAUUUAAACAGAACUAGCAAAAUCAUAAAGCAUAUGAAUUUUUAAGCUCUGUCUCAAGAAUUUCAAAAUUCACUGUAGAUCAUCAAUUACAUGAAAUCUUGUAGCAUCUAAGUAUAGACUUGUACUAUGUUUUCAACUUGUAUGCACCAUAGGUAAAGAUCAAACAGAACCAACCAGUUGAACCAAAAAUCAGUCAGGUGCAUUGGUCUAUUACUCUAUUUGACUCCAAAAUUAGCUUGUUUCAAAACCAGUGAAACUAAGUGAAAAAAACCAGCUGAACUGGAUCAAAAUCGGUAAAGUUGCUCAAAAAUUGUAGUGAAGAACUAACUUGAACCGGUCAAUCUUAAAAUUUUCAAUUUUUUUAGUUUAUUGAAAUAUUUUAAUUUUAAAAAUGAAGUUUUAAAGCAAAUAAAAGGCUGAUGACAAGUUGUAAUUACGUAUAUAUGAUAUAAUAAUUUUACUGUUGAACCAUUGAUACGUGAAUCAAUAUCUUUACUAAUUCAAUGAUCGGUUCAGUUUUUAUAACAAUGAUAACGACAUUUUUAGGUUCAACCGACCCGAGAAAAAAUUAAAGAGCAAUAGCCUACCUUUAUCUUUUACUGAAAGAUUAUCACAUUUCUUUCUUGUUUUAAAGUGGGGGGAGGGGGUUUUACAAAAUGGGGGAUAAAAGUAAUUGUUAUUAUCCAUCUGAGAAGCACAUAAGCAAUCAAGAAAUCAAGUUAGCUUUAACAGAUGUUCAAGUUCCAGCUAUUUACUGCUCAUCAUAAAAAGCCUUCAUUCUCAUUCCAAGGCAGCCUAUUGUAUCCUUAAACUGCCUCAUUCAUCCAUGCCUGUAAGUUAUAAAAUUCAAAAAAUUCAAGGAGUAAUCAACACCAUUGCAGUACUUAUAAAUAUAUACCGACCUCUGGAGCCAUCCACCGAUAAGUACCAGUUUCUGCAGUCAUAAUACCAGGUUGAUUGUACACUUUGGCUACACCAAAAUCAGCAACCUUAACUACCUGUUGGAAAAGUUUUUCAGCAACCAAAAUGGUAGGUGAAAUGCUAAUUU